AAAAUAACAAUAAUACUACUCCCAAAUUAGGCCUAUAAUCUCUUCAAUACGAGAGUAUCCAACAGCCUCGAGGUUUUUUACUCGACAGAGAGCGAGGAAAACAAAAGAGGAAGAGCGAAAUAUAGAACAAGGAUUGAACAGAGCAAAUCAAAAACCCUAGGAACGACAAUCAGUUGUAUGAGGUUCGUUCAUCACUAUAAUCUUUCAGUCCGGGUUGUAAUUCGUAGUUACAGACUUACAGUUGAGCUGUAAAUAAUGCUUGAAGUUAGUGUAAUUCGUAAUCCGAUAUCCAUUGUAUGUUUGCCUUCGUUGGCUUACUUGAUUUGUGCGAUUGAUUCUACUUACAAAUGCUAUAUUAUAAACUCUACAAUAAGAUCUGGUUCACUUUAGUUUAUUAAGAUUAAAAAAAUCCUUUGAUACUUGAUUUAAAAUGAAAUCCAUAUGAAAAUGAAGAUUCAUUUUAUUAUUACAAUCACACACUAAUAUAGAGAUAGUUCUCUCUAUUUAUACAUGUAAACUGCUUACAUUAGAGGCUAAUUAUCAAACUAAUUGUAUUACAAAAAUGCCAUAAACAGAACUAGCAUAAGCCACUGUCAUGAAUUUGAUUGUGUUGGCUGAGGGCUUGUGACGCUAUGCUGCUGUGAGUUUCACUCAGAAUUAUAAGCUUCACUUGUCAUAUCUAUAACAUCCCUCCCUCAAGUCGGCAUUACGAAACAAGUUACAAAUGCUCAACUUGGUCAAUAAUUGUUUAAGAUGCUGUGAAGCUAAAGACUUGGUAAGCAAAUCAGCCGUCUGCUCAAGAGUGAACACAUAGUGAACACAUGAUGAGUAGAGAUAAAACCUUGCGUAAGCUUAUACCGUACAAGGUGACAAUCUAUCUCAAUAUGUUUAGUGUGCUCAUGAAACACAGGAUUUGACGCAAUAUGGAGAGCUGCUUUGUUGUCACGGUACAGAGGAAUAGGCUUAGAAACUUGGAUACCAAAAUCUUUUAAAAGAGCUGAAAUCCAUACUAGUUCACAACAUAUGUUGCCCAUGGAUCUAUAUUCUGAUUCAGCAGAGUACCUGGACACAGUAGGUUACUUUUUACGUUUCCAUGGAAAUAAGAGCCAAGUAAGACACAAAAGCCAGAUAUUGAUAGUCUACUAUCAGGACAAGAAUCCCAAUCUGCGUCACAAACACCUGAAGACUAUUGUUGGCCGGAAAGAGUAAACCUUGUCCCAAACUGCCUUUAAGAUAUUUAACCAACUUCAAUGCAGCUUCAAAAUGAGGGGUUUGAGGCUGAGCUAGAAACUGACUUGGAAUAUAUGAACACCAUAACUAAUGUCAGGUCUAGUUAUAGUAAGAUAUACUAGCCUGCCUACCAAUCUUCGGUAGGCAUUGCUGUCAGAAGCCGAGAGAAGAUCCCCUUUAUUUGAGGCAAGCUGAUGAUGUUGAUCCAUAGGAAUAACACUGGGUUUAGAACCUUAAAGACCAGUUUCUUGUAAGAUAUCAAGAACAUAUUUCCUUUGAUUAAUAUAAAUACUAGUAUCAUUCCUUGCAUUCUCUAAACCCAAAAAAUAUUUCAAAGAUCCCAAGUCUUUAAUCUUAAACUAAGUGUUAAGAAAAGACUUGAUAGUAGUAAUAGUAGAAGCAUUGUUUCGUGUGAUGAUAAUGUUAUAAACAUAAACAAGGAGAGCAGUAAAUGAGGAACCCUUGGUUGGAACAAAUAGAGAAUGAUUACUUUUUGAUUGAAUAAAUUCAUAACUAAGAAGCACACUUGACAAUUUUGAAAACCAUUGUCUUGGAGCUUGUUUGAGCCCAUACAAUGAUUUUAUUAAUUUCCAAACCACGGGAGCAGAAGAAUUAUCUAGACAUUGAAAUCCAGAAGGUAAAUCCAUGUAGACAUCCUCUUGUAAACCACCACGAAGGAAAGCGUUAGAAAAUCUAUUUGAGACAAAUGCCACCUUUUAGUGGAUGCCAAUGCUAAAAGAAGUCUAACUGUAGUCAUUUUGACUACGGAAGCAAAAGUUUCAAAAUAGUCUUGGCCAUGUGUUUGUGUAAAGCCUUUUGCCACCAACCUAACUUUUUACUUGUCGAUAGAACGAUUAGCAAGAAACUUGGUCCUAUAGAUCCAUUCGCAUCCAAUAGUUUGAUGUCCUUUAGGCAAGGAAGUCGAUAUCCAAGUCUUAUUGGACUCUAAGGCUUGAAUUUCAUCGGCCAUGGCCUGUUGCCAGUGAGAAUGUUUCACAGCUUGAGCAUAGGUUUUAGGUUCACAAUGAGAAGAUAUAGCAGCUAGAAAGAGCUGAUGUCUUGGGGUAAAGUGAGAAUAAGAGAUGUAAUGAGGUAAAGGAUAUGAAGAGGAAACAUGUGCAUCAUAAGAUACCUGUGCUGAAGUAGGAAGAGACUGAGUAAAUAUAGAUGGUAAGCUUGUAUAAUCUUUAAACUUUGCAGGAAGUCUCUUAGAUUUAUGAGAAACAUAUUUAUUCAUAGAGGGAGAAACAUGGGAUACAUCAUUAGAGGCAUCAUUUAAAGAAGAAGAAGAGACACCACUAGAAUUGGAAAUAUCCAAUGAAGGCGACAAAGGUGAAUUAAGUGAAGAAUCUAUUUCUGAGAAUACAGGGCAACCAUAGUAAAUCAUCAGUUUGGAGAAUAAAAGGAUCAUGAGGAAAUAAAGAGCAAUUAAAAUACCACAUGGUAUUUGGCCCAGUGGUAUGACUCGCCUCAUGGUAUUCAUGAGGUCGAGGGUUCGAUUCUUGGUGGCAACAAGGAGGGUGUGUGCGUGUCAAUGUAGCAAAAGAAAAAAGAAAAAAGAGCAAAGAGCUUACCCUGGCAAAGAGCUUCCCUUUCUUAGUCGAGGGGUUUGGUUCCUCUUCCUACUUUCCUUUUUUAGUCGAAUACCUCGCCAGUUCCAUUUUCAGUCUUAGCCAAGUAGCCUUCACUCAUAAACUCUGGUUUAUGGCAAAACCCUCUCCCUGUAGGUCUCGUACCCAAAGCCCUAUCCCUGCCUGUGAGGUCAAGUAUCUGAGGAAUCUAAAUCCCUUUCGAGUUGGUCCCUUGGAAACUCUCUAUCUUCAGAGCCUCUUUCUGGUCGAGGAGUUGGGUUCAUCCCUUGAAGUGGAGUUACUCUCCUACCCAAUGAAACUCCGAUUUAUGUCACCUCUCCCAGGACGAAGUUAAGCAGAGAAAUUAGGGUGCCGAGGACAAUCCGCGAACCCACGUUCAUCAAGCACUUCGCUGACAUAAGUUGAGACUGAAAACCUCAUUCUGAUUGAUCUAGGAACCUUUACCCGACAGACCAAACAAGGGAUUCGCGCAUGCCACUCAUACCUAUCAACCGAAGCCCCUCUGGCCUGCCGGGAAGAUAUUUAACAAAGAAAUUAUUUUAGAGAUUGCCAUAAACAGGAACGCUUUACUUUUUAAUUAUGUACUAUAUGGCAUAUUCUUGUCCCGUACUCCACGUUAUUUAAAUUAAGGAACUAGCCUAGCUAUUUCAGGGGGAAGCUCCUAACCUGUCAGUAUGAGCACCGCAUCGUAUGUUCCCCCCUCACCCCGCAACUUCAAUCCCUAUAUGCGCCUAUUUCUGCUUAUUUCUUGUUGUAUAUUUUUUGUUAUUACUCUUUAUUUCUAUAAGCUCUAUUAACGCUCACCUCCAACCCAGACCGGUGGAGUCGAGCUGUCCCAUAUAUAGUCUUUCAGUCCCUCUCUGAUAAACAAUACUACUCAUAACGAAAAAGAGAUUGAUUUACAGAUAGAUAUCGUGUGUACUGAUUGACCAGACAGCUCAACCGUUGACCAGCCAAUCGGCAAAUACAUUUUUACAGAAAGACCGGUGUGCCACACUUUCAACUCCAACUACUACAGGAAAGAUUCCACCUCCCUCUCAUGAUAAAAUUUGAUCUCCUUCCAUACUUCACAAGCAGCAGCUAGCUCCGGAAGCAUGAUAAAUAUGAAGAGGAAACCUGUG
rnacentral:lncRNA from 1 species